rnacentral:rRNA from 1 species
AUUGAACGCUGGCGGCAUGCUUUACACAUGCAAGUCGAACGGUAACAGGCCGCAAGGUGCUGACGAGUGGCGAACGGGUGAGUAAUGCAUCGGAACGUGCCCAGUCGUGGGGGAUAACGCAGCGAAAGCUGCGCUAAUACCGCAUACGAUCUAUGGAUGAAAGCGGGGGACCGUAAGGCCUCGCGCGAUUGGAGCGGCCGAUGUCAGAUUAGGUAGUUGGUGGGGUAAAGGCUCACCAAGCCAACGAUCUGUAGCUGGUCUGAGAGGACGACCAGCCACACGGGGUCUGGGACACGGCACAGACUCCGACGGGAGGCAGCGGAGGGGAAUUUUGGACAAUGGGCCAAAGCCGGAUCCAGCAAUGCCGCGUGCAGGAAGAAGGCCUUCGGGUUGUAAGCUGCUUUUGUACGGAACGAAAAGCCCUGGGUUAAUACCCUGGGGUCAUGACGGUACCGUAAGAAUAAGCACCGGCUAACUACGUGCCAGCAGCCGCCGUAACAC